rnacentral:rRNA from 1 species
AACGAACGCUGGCGGCGUGCUUAACACAUGCAAGUCGAACGCGAAAGGGACUUCGGUCCUGAGUAAAGUGGCGCACGGGUGAGUAACGCGUAGAUAACCUGUCUUCAUGUCUGGAAUAAUACGCCGAAAGGGGUACUAAUACCGGAUAUUCUUGCUUUUCAUAAGUUAUGCAAGCAAAGGUGGCCUCUGCAUAUGCUACUGCAUGAAGAGGGGUCUGCGUACCAUUAGCUAGUAGGUGGGGUAAUGGCCUACCUAGGCGACGAUGGUUAGCGGGUCUGAGAGGAUGAUCCGCCACACUGGCACUGGAACACGGGCCAGACUCCUACGGGAGGCAGCAGUGAGGAAUAUUGCGCAAUGGGGGAAACCCUGACGCAGCGACGCCGCGUGAGUGAAGGAAGGCCUUCGGGUCGUAAAGCUCUGUCAAGAGGAAAGAAGUGUACAAUGGCUAAUACCUGUUGUAUUUGACGGUACCUCUAAAGGAAGCACCGGCUAACUCCGUGCCAGCCGCAGC